rnacentral:tRNA from 1 species
GGGCUGGGGCUCAGUGGUAGAGCACUCGCCUAGCAUGCAUGAGGAACUGGGUUCGAUCCUCAGUAACACA